rnacentral:lncRNA from 1 species
GAACAUUGAGUUCCUUUCCACAUAGAGUCAUGUAUAGUUUUUCAGCAUAAGAUGAAGUUUCAAUAAGAAGGAAAAUCUGGACUUUAGCUUUUCGGUUUUUCUCUGGAUGUAGACUUUAGGGAAUUUGUUCAUAUUGUAAAACCUCGUAGUAUUCUUUUAGGAGCAUGACUUUUAGUAACAUCACUUCCUUUACCCUGCCUGCCUUUAUCCUGGUUUGCAUGCCUAUCUUAUCCUUGAACAGUUGCCAGGUCUUAACUAAUUUUCAGAGCCCAAUUUCAUCACUUUCUCCACACAGUAUCUAGCUAGUUUUUUGUAUAGAAUUGUGUCCAGUGACUAUUUAUUCAACUGUUAAAAUUGCUUUGCUUUGGAGCUGUUUUAAUCUGUCUACUGCCCAACUGGGUGUAGAAGACUUAAGUGUUUGCUACAUUAGGAAGUUGUAAGAGACUUGAAUUGGGGUGUACGCCCAGGUGUCAACCAUUCCAUUUUCUUUGGGAAAUUCUAAUACAUAAGCAUAGUACUCCACUGAUCACAUUGGUGUUCUGGGACCCUUCCCUACCUCUCAAACACAUCUUACUAUAGCUCAUUGAUCUAGGGAUUACAUCUAAUUGGCUGGAUGCCUCAAAAUGUCACUUCCAGAUAUUUGAAACUUUAAGGAGAGUAGGCUUGAUUUGAGUCCUAUUUAAGACAGAUCAUGAAGGGAAAUUCAGAGACUCAUCACUUGUUCCCACUUCACCUGAGGUCCGUUCCUUCAGCUCUUUUUCAAUUCUGUGAGCUUCCCCAUCAUCCUUCCAGGAAAUCCCUUUUGUGCUCAAGCUGAUUAAAGUCUACUUCUGUUGCACACAUUCAGAGGAUCUGAGCCAAUGCAAUGAUUGAGAAGGUUGCAAAGAAAGCCUGUGAGGCUCCAAGGCCUGACAUUGCCUUCAACUUGCCAUGUGGCAUACAAUAGUCACUAACUUGUAAUUCACAUACUCAUCUUCAUUACCGGGGUUUUAAGACAAUGCUUGUGAGAAUACACUGAAGAAUGGAUAGAAUUAUAAAGUGCAGUAGUCGCAAAGGAAGUUUAUUUGAAAAUGAGGAAAUAUAGACAUCGGAAAGCAGGGUCCUGUUUGGGGAACAGAGGACUACUUCUGGAGGAUAGAGUUCCUUAUAUUAAAAUAUAGGUAUUUAUAAUAUUAUAUAACAAGGUCAACAGAGAGAUGGCUGUUAAUUUAUACUCACAGAUCCCAAGAGGAGGCAUGACAUAUUGCAAGGGGCCACAGAGGGAAGCACUAAUGAGACAAAAGGAGCAAAAGAAAAUAAGGGCAGAAGCCUUGAUGGUGAUUUCUGUGGGAAGGAUCAGACAAAGAGGAGUUAACAGUUCAGGAUUGGCUAGUUUUGAUGACUUCAACCAAUUUAGGGGAAUAGGGAUUAUCCCUAGUUACCUGUUAACUGGCCCUUGGAUGAUUAGAGCAGGGGACUAGUG